UACGAAGGGGGCUAGCGUUGCUCGGAAUCACUGGGCGUAAAGCGCACGUAGGCGGAUUGCUAAGUCAGGGGUGAAAUCCUGGAGCUCAACUCCAGAACUGCCUUUGAUACUGGCAACCUUGAGUCCGGGAGAGGUGAGUGGAACUGCGAGUGUAGAGGUGAAAUGCGCAGAUAUCAGGAGGAACACCUAUGGCGAAGGCAGCUCGCUGGGACGGUACUGACGCUGAGGCGCGAAAGCGUGGGGAGCGAACAGG
rnacentral:rRNA from 1 species